rnacentral:RNase_P_RNA from 1 species
CAAGUAGACCGGGUGACCGCCCCGAUAACAAUCGGGGAGGAAAGUCUGAACUCCACCGGGCAGGAUGCUGGGUAACGCCCAGGAGGGGAAACCCUACGGAAAGUGCCACAGAAACAUACCGCCAGCGGUCCUUCAUUCGUGAAGGAAGCGAGCAAGGGUGAAAUGGUGGGAUUAAGAGCCCACCAGCAGCCGGGUGACCGGUUGGCUGAGCAAACCCCAUCUGGAGCAAGACCAAAUAGAGGGACGUAAGGUGCCCGGCCUGAUCCCCGGGUUGGUCGCAUGACUCCGAUGGUAACAUCGAAGCUAGAUAGAUGGUCACCAUCCUUCACUCGUGAAGGAUACAGAAUUCGGCUUACAGGUUUACUUGGCCC